rnacentral:sRNA from 1 species
AGCAGCCGCGGUAAUUCCAGCUCCAAUAGCGUAUAUUAAAGUUGUUGCAGUUAAAAGCUCGUAGUUGAAUUUCGGGGUCAGUAGGUCGGUCGUGCCACGGGUAUGCACUGGUCUCACUGAUUCCUCCUUCCUGAUGAACCGGAAUGCCAUUAAUUUGGUGUUGCGGGGAGACUGGACUGUUACUUUGAAAAAUUAGAGUGUUUAAAGCAGGCUAACGCUUGAAUACAUUAGCAUGGAAUAACGGAAUAGGACGUUCGAUCUUAUUUUGUUAGUUUCUAAGAUUGACGUAAUGAUUAAUAGGGAUAGUUGGGGGCAUUAGUACUCAAUUGUCAGAGGUGAAAUUCUUGGAUUUAUUGAAGACUAAACUACUGCGA